rnacentral:lncRNA from 1 species
CGUUUCCCUCUUAAACUGUUGAUAUUGUUAGCAUUGUUCGUUUCUCAGUGUGUGUCCAUCUGCCUUGUCUGUAAAAUGGGCAUAAUAAGAGCUCACCUUUCAGAAAGCAGUGGGUAGGGCUAGAUGGUAUAAUUAUGUUCCCUUUCAUCAGUUUUCCCUAUCUCUACUAAGCACCAGGUGCUAUUGGAAAAAUUAAUAGCCUAAGAUUGUUUUGGAGUAAGAAGAAUGUAAAUUAAUUAAUCCUAUAAACAUGCAUGCUAUAGCAUUGUAUGGUUUGUCCUUCCAGGAAAAAGCUAAAACCUCACCUAUAUUGUUAAUAUAUAUAUAUUUUUUACAUUAUUUAAAUGAGUGAAUUUUUGCUUCCUUUGUUGGUUUUGCAUAAAGAUAUUCAUAUUAGCAUAAUGUAGAUAAAUCUCAUGAGUUAAUUAUUCACUAAAUCAAAUUUAAAAUUAGUUUCCAUUUCUAAGUCAAAGGUUGAGUUGUUCCACAU